rnacentral:rRNA from 1 species
CAGUCGAGCGGCAGCGGGACCUUCGGGUUGCCGGCGAGCGGCGGACGGGUGAGUAAUGCCUAGGAAUCUGCCUGUUAGUGGGGGAUAACGCGGGGAAACUCGCGCUAAUACCGCAUACGUCCUACGGGAGAAAGUGGGGGACCUUCGGGCCUCACGCUAACAGAUGAGCCUAGGUCGGAUUAGCUGGUUGGUGGGGUAACGGCCCACCAAGGCGACGAUCCGUAACUGGUCUGAGAGGAUGAUCAGUCACACUGGAACUGAGACACGGUCCAGACUCCUACGGGAGGCAGCAGUGGGGAAUAUUGGACAAUGGGCGAAAGCCUGAUCCAGCCAUGCCGCGUGUGUGAAGAAGGUCUUCGGAUUGUAAAGCACUUUAAGUCGGGAGGAAGGGCUGUAGGCGAAUACCCUGCAGUCUUGACGUUACCGACAGAAUAAGCACCGGCUAACUUCGUGCCAGCAGCCGCGGUAAUACGAAGGGUGCAAGCGUUAAUCGGAAUUACUGGGCGUAAAGCGCGCGUAGGUGGUUUGGUAAGUUGGAUGUGAAAGCCCCGGGCUCAACCUGGGAACUGCAUCCAAAACUGCCUGGCUAGAGUACGGUAGAGGGUGGUGGAAUUUCCUGUGUAGCGGUGAAAUGCGUAGAUAUAGGAAGGAACACCAGUGGCGAAGGCGACCACCUGGACUGAUACUGACACUGAGGUGC